UCCUACGGGAGGCAGCAGUGAGGAAUAUUGGUCAAUGGGAGAGAUCCUGAACCAGCCAAGCCGCGUGAGGGAAGACGGCCCUAUGGGUUGUAAACCUCUUUUGUCGGAGAACAAAACCCGGGACGUGUCCCGGACUGCGUGUAUCCGAAGAAAAAGCAUCGGCUAACUCCGUGCCAGCAGCCGCGGUAAUACGGAGGAUGCGAGCGUUAUCCGGAUUUAUUGGGUUUAAAGGGUGCGUAGGCGGUCCGUUAAGUCAGCGGUAAAAUUGCGGGGCUCAACCCCGGAACUGCUUUGGAAACUGUGCA
rnacentral:rRNA from 1 species